CCAUCGCUACCCAUGUCUAUGAGUUAUGGAUCAUACAGGAAGAUAUAAUAUCUUGGUAGUUCGUGCAAUGCAUAAAGGUAAGUUCAGGUACUCCCCAUCAAGUCAAGUUGGUCAUACAGGAGUAUGAUUCUUUCUUGGUGAUUGUAUCCACCCAAGCUUGUUCGUGCAAUAUCUUGGAUCAUACAGGAGUAUGAUUCUUUCUUGGUAAUUGUAUCCCCAUCAAGUCAAGUUGGUCCUCGCUGCAGCUAGCUGCACCACGUGUUGCUCUAUUACAGGUAUAGAUACAGUAGAAGGAUUUAGAUUCUCAACUUUAUUGUCUAAAACCAAGAAGGAAUAAUAAAAAUAAUAUUUGAUCAAAGCUGUUGCAACUUCUCUAGCAAAACCUUGGAUAAAUCAGUAUUCAUGCACCUUGCCAAUUAGCACAAAUAGAGAUGCAAAUUAUCCCAGAGAGUUAGAAGACCCAAAAAAAGUUAACCCACACAUGGUGCACUCAUACAUAAGAGAAGACCAAAGCAAAGCGAUCAAGCCAUGCAAUUCAAGUUAUUAAAAUACUAAUUAGUUAUUGUAUCUACAUGGUCAGUCUUACGUAAAAACUUUUAAAUGAUAUGGAGUAAUUUGCAAGGAGUAUAUACAUACUAUUUUUUCAAAUGGGAUAUAUACAACUAUUCUCAGAGUAUAUACCUAUGAUACCGGCAAUAAUGAUCAGUGUAUACUCAUUGUCAGAAAUGAGUAUAUGGUGUGUUUUCUUUUGAAAUGAUAGUAUACUACUUUUCACAAAGGGGUAUAGAAGAGAGGGCUAUCUUCCAUAUGAUAUUUCAGUAUCGAUCAACAGCAUAUGUUUCUUUCUGUCUUGUUGUACGUAUACUUGAUUGAUGAGGAGAAAGUAUACACCAAAAGAAAAUAAGUACUGAACUAAGGGAAACCUGUGCGGAGAAGCAUGCAUGCAUCCGGUGAGAAGAAGUAAAAGUGAUAAAAAAGUAGUAUAUAC
rnacentral:lncRNA from 1 species